UACACUUCUACCCAUGAUGUUGCUUUUCAUAAGGUCGUUCGGCUAGAAGUCGAAUCUCCCCUGUAAGACUGAAACUUGUAACAAAAUCGAGAUCUGUCUGCAAAAUCUUCGUUGGAAAGACGAAAAUUACUACCUUCCCAGGUAUUGACUUGCAGUUAAUAGGAUGUAAGUCGAGGUAUCUGGUCUGAUCCGGGCCCGAUGAGGUCCGGAUUCGUCGACCUGAGGUUGAUUUUCUUCACCUCCAAGAAUGGAUGAGAAAGGCGAAAGCAGUUACCAGGCGACUGUAGAUCGGCGUAAAAGCGCGUCCGUAUUUCAUCAUCCCUGCUGUGGGGUCUGGCGACUCAGAAGCCCACGCAAUACUACAAAGCGGUUUCAAUGGCGCGGCCACGAGCAAACUUCGUGGCUUACCACUGUGAAGAGAGGUAACGAAGGGGCGUCAUGGCAGCAACCAAGGCCUUCUCUGCGGAAUUCAUCGGCAUGCAGAGUCACCUGCUCCUCUAUAAACAGCUAGGGUUGCAGACGCAGCGGCGGCUGCCACCAUCUCUCAAUUCUCUUUCGGUCAGGGCCGCCAGGUGCCCCUUACGGCUCUUCUUCUUCGCAACAAGUUGCAAUUGUGAACUGAAACAAAGGAAUUCAUCGUUGGGGAGAGAGGAAAAAGGAGUAUUGUGAGAAGAUGGGCUAUGUGGGGGUGGGGGUGCUGUCCGUUCCCUUUAUCGUUGUCAUAUUGAUUGUCGGGUUCGUAUGUUACAUAUUGAGGAGGUUGGCAGCAAGGAGAGAGGCCCAGAAUCUGAUGAUGGUGGCUCCCCCUGUCUACGGCGCGGGUGUUCCACCGCCGCCUCCUCCUCCUCCUCAACCGGUAUAUGGAGAACCAGUUUACCCGAAUAAACCGCUGCCUCCUCCUCCUCCUCCUCAACCGGUAUAUGGAGGACCAGUUUACCCGAAUCAACCGCCGCCUCCUCCUCAACCGGUAUAUGGAGAACCAGUUUACCCGAAUAAAGCCUCCGUAUAGCAGCGUAGAUGUAUCACGAUAUAUUCUGGCUUUGAUUACCGGGUACAUGGUGCAUACCUACAUUUUGGGUUCAUUCUUUUCCUUGCUCUUCCCUCAUCUUUUUAGCUUUUAUUUUUCCUUUUUCGUUGCACACAAAAUUAUCUCUUGUACCCUGUUCUUCUUGAUCUCUAUGGUUACAGGUGUGGCGAAAAGGCCUGCUUUUCUUUUUA